rnacentral:rRNA from 1 species
UGUCUACAACAUAACGUUAAUGCAUUGGAUCCCAUUAAAAAUAUGCAAUUAAACGCGCUCAGGUUAGAGUAGUAUUAGGAUGGGUGAUCACUCAGGAAGUCCUAGUGUUUUAUAUGC